rnacentral:tRNA from 1 species
GGGCCGCCGAGUGACGGGCCAGCGCGACCAGCUCCUGCGGGGUGCGGGCCGAGGCCAGCUCCUCCGCCGGUUCCAGACCGGCGCGGCGCAC